UACGUAGGGUGCAAGCGUUGUCCGGAAUUAUUGGGCGUAAAGAGCUCGUAGGUGGCCUGUCGCGUCGGCUGUGAAAACUCGGGGCUCAACUCCGAGCUUGCAGUCGAUACGGGCAGGCUAGAGUUCGGCAGGGGAGACUGGAAUUCCUGGUGUAGCGGUGAAAUGCGCAGAUAUCAGGAGGAACACCGGUGGCGAAGGCGGUGGUCUGGGCCGGUACUGACGCUGAGGAGCGAAAGCGUGGGGAGCGAACAGG
rnacentral:rRNA from 1 species